CCCUUUGUGGUGUAGUUGGUAUCACACUCGGCUGUAAUGUGGACUUCUGCUUUGCCUACCGAUUGGUCACCGGUUCGACUCCGGUCGAAGGGA